rnacentral:rRNA from 1 species
CCUACGGGAGGCAGCAGUAGGGAAUCUUCCACAAUGGACGAAAGUCUAAUGGAGCAACGCCGCGUGAACGAUGAAGGCUUUCGGGUCGUAAAGUUCUGUUGUAAGGGAAGAACAAGUGCCGCAGGCAAUGGCGGCACCUUGACGGUACCUUGCGAGAAAGCCACGGCUAACUACGUGCCAGCAGCCGCGGUAAUACGUAGGUGGCAAGCGUUGUCCGGAAUUAUUGGGCGUAAAGCGCGCGCAGGAGGCCUCUUAAGUCUGAUGUGAAAGCCCCCGGCUCAACCGGGGAGGGCCAUUGGAAACUGGGAGGCUUGAGUAUAGGAGAGAAGAGUGGAAUUCCACGUGUAGCGGUGAAAUGCGUAGAGAUGUGGAGGAACACCAGUGGCGAAGGCGACUCUUUGGCCUAUAACUGACGCUGAGGCGCGAAAGCGUGGGGAGCAAACAGGAUUAGAUACCCUGGUAGUCCAUGCUGUAAACGAUGAAUACUCGAUGUUGGCGAUACACUGUCAGCGUUCAAGCGAAAGCAUUAAGUAUUCCACCUGGGGAGUACGAUCGCAAGGUUGAAACUCAAAGGAAUUGACGG